rnacentral:misc_RNA from 1 species
UAUUGAUUGCGAAUUGUUGCCUUCUGUGCUGGCCAGCUCUGGCAAGUGCACGUCGGUGACUUUCAUCCAAUACCCUGUGCACCUUUGGCCUUUGCUAGCCUCGGCUGGCAGAGGAAUUUUUACACACACUCGAAUGUAAUGAAAUUUAUUGUCGUGCGCAAGCACUAAUGUACAACUUUCAACAACGGAUCUCUUGGCUCUCGCAUCGAUGAAGAACGCAGCGAAAUGCGAUAAGUAAUGUGAAUUGCAGAAUUCAGUGAAUCAUUGAAUCUUUGAACGCACCUUGCGCUCCCCGGUAUUCCAGGGAGCACACCUGUUCGAGUGUCGUGAAAUUCUCAAGCUUAUAGAUGGUUUUUCAUCUUAGGCUUGGUUAUUGGGCUUUGCCGUGCCCCUCUUUAUUGAGGGAACGGCUGGCCUUAAAAGCAUUAGCUGACUCUUGUGUAGGAUUGGUUCUACUCAGCGUGAUAAUAAUUCUGACCGCCGAGGACAUCUUUCGGGAUGGCCAAUUCUUGCUUGGGUUGCUUCAAACUCUGGUUUACAGAUCUCUAUAUCUGUUCCACUAUCAAGUUUG